GUGGGGAAUAUUGGACAAUGGGCGAAAGCCUGAUCCAGCCAUGCCGCGUGUGUGAAGAAGGUCUUCGGAUUGUAAAGCACUUUAAGUUGGGAGGAAGGGCAGUAAGUUAAUACCUUGCUGUUUUGACGUUACCGACAGAAUAAGCACCGGCUAACUUCGUGCCAGCAGCCGCGGUAAUACGAAGGGUGCAAGCGUUAAUCGGAAUUACUGGGCGUAAAGCGCGCGUAGGUGGGUUUGUAAGUUGGAGGUGAAAUCCCCGGGCUCAACCUGGGAACUGCCUCCAAAACUGCAUGACUAGAGUACGGUAGAGGGUAGUGGAAUUUCCUGUGUAGCGGUGAAAUGCGUAGAUAUAGGAAGGAACACCAGUGGCGAAGGCGACUACCUGGACUGAUACUGACACUGAGGUGCGAAAGCGUGGGGAGCAAACAGGAUUAGAUACCCGGGUAGUCC
rnacentral:rRNA from 1 species